rfam:Agrotis ipsilon multiple nucleopolyhedrovirus strain Illinois, complete genome.
CACUUUACGGCCCAAGUCAACGCCAAUAUACUACAUUCCGACGUUUGUGGUGAAAUUUUGGGCCAAAUACACAACCAAUAUACUACAAUGGACUCUAAAUAUACUACGAAUUCUUUCGAAUAUAAUUACGAAAGUGUAAAGACGCCAAAAUAUAUUGAACGAUAUGCGGCAAAUAUACCAAAUAUACAGAAAUCUAAGAUCGU